CUAGAGGUCAGGGGCUAGAGGUCAGGGACUAGAGGUCAGGGGCUAGAGGUCAGGGGCUAGAGGUCAGGGGCUAGAGGUCAGGGGCUAGAGGUCAGGGGCUAGAGGUCAGGGGUUGAAGGUGCUGAAUUCCUCUCCCUGUACUCCAGACAGAUACCAUCAUUCUAAACAACUAUAAAUCACUAGUCAUCAAUUAUUUACCAGGAAUCAAUACAGCUAUCAGUUCCCCCUCCUUUAUGUCUGUCAACAACUGUGUGACUAUCAUUUACAACAACACCCACACAUAAAUAUAUAUCUAUAUGAUUACAGCAACACCCACACAUAAAUAUAUAUCUAUAUGAUUACAACAACACCCACACAUAAAUAUAUAUCUAUAUGAUUACAACAACACCCACACAUAAACAUAUAUCUAUAUGAUUACAACAAC
rnacentral:lncRNA from 1 species